UGCAGAGCUUGUGCGAUUGGCGC
rnacentral:miRNA from 1 species